rnacentral:rRNA from 1 species
UACGGGGGGAGCAAACGUUGUUCGGAAUCACUGGGCGUAAAGGGCGUGUAGGCGGCUGGAUAAGUGGGAUGUUAAAUCCCCCGGCUCAACCGGGGACCUGCAUCUCAUACUGUUCAGCUCGAGCACAUCAGAGGAGACUGGAAUUCCCGGUGUAGCGGUGAAAUGGCGUAGAUAUCGGGAAGAACACCCGUGGCGAAGGCGGGUUCUACUGGGACCGGUACU